rnacentral:rRNA from 1 species
AGACGGGACCGCACAAGCGGUGGAGGAUGUGGUUUAAUUCGACGCAACGCGAAGAACCUUACCAGGUCUUGACAUCCCGAUGCUAUUUCUAGAGAUAGAAGUUACUUCGGUACAUCGGUGACAGGUGGUGCAUGGUUGUCGUCAGCUCGUGUCGUGAGAUGUUGGGUUAAGUCCCGCAACGAGCGCAACCCCUAUUGUUAGUUGCCAUCAUUCAGUUGGGCACUCUAGCGAGACUGCCGGUAAUAAACCGGAGGAAGGUGGGGAUGACGUCAAAUCAUCAUGCCCCUUAUGACCUGGGCUACACACGUGCUACAAUGGUUGGUACAACGAGUUGCGAGUCGGUGACGGCGAGCUAAUCUCCAAAUGUUGUCCCAGUUCAGAUUGCAGGCUGCAACUCGCCUGCAUGAAGUCGGAAUUGCUAGUAAUGGCAGGUCAGCAUACUGCCGUGAAUACGUUCCCGGGCCUU